rnacentral:lncRNA from 1 species
AAAAGAUCAUGCACCAUGAUCAAGUGGGAUUCAUCCCAGUGAUGCAAGGUUGGUUCAACAUAAGGAAAUCAAUCAGUGUAAUUAAUCACAUCAAUAGACUCAAAGAUAAGAAUCAUAUGAUCAUCUCAAUAGAUGCAGAAAAAGCAUUUGACAAAAUAUAGCACCCUUUCAUGUUCCAAACACUAGAAAAACUAGGGAUAACAGGAACAUAUCUCAACAUCAUAAAGGCUAUCUUUGCUAAGCCCCAGGCCAACAUCAUUCUAAAUGGAGAAAAAUUGAAGGCAUUCCCUUUAAAAACUAAAACAGACAGGGAUGCCCUUUUUCAACACUUCUAUGUUAAAUAAGUAUUAAAUAUAGUUCUGGAAACACUGGCCAGAGCAAUUCGACAAAAGAAAUUAAAGAGAUACGUAUAGGAAAAGAAGAACUUAAAUUAGCACUACUUGUGGACAAUAUGAUUCUAUAUCUAGAAGACCCAGAAAGCUCCACCAGAAAACUUCUAGAACCUGUAAAUGAAUUCAGCAAAGUAGCAGGAUAUAAUAUCAACACCCAUAAAUCAAAGUCAUUUCUAUAUAUCAGUGACAAAUCCUCAGAAAGGGAAACAAGGAAAACUACCCUUUUACAAUAACCUCAAAUAACAGCAACAACAACAACAGCAACAAACAACAAACAACAAACAAAAAAACAAAACAAAACCUGGGAAUCAACUAUCAACUUAACGAAAGAGGUGAAAUAUCUAUACAAUGAAAACUACAGAACCCUAAAGAAAGAAAUCAAAGAAGACCGUAGAAGAUGGAAAGAUCUACCUUUCUCUUGGAUAGAUACUUUAUAAAUAUUUGUCAAAGGACUAUACUGUGGUGAGCCGCUUCUG